UACGUAGGGUGCGAGCGUUGUCCGGAAUUACUGGGCGUAAAGCGUGCGUAGGCGGUGUCUUAAGUUUGUUGUGAAAUCUCCCGGCUUAACCGGGAGGGUGCGGCGAAUACUGAGAUGCUGGAGUGCCGGAGAGGUAAGCGGAAUUCCUGGUGUAGCGGUGAAAUGCGUAGAUAUCAGGAGGAACACCUGCGGUGUAGACGGCUUACUGGACGGUAACUGACGCUGAGGCACGGAAAGCGUGGGUAGCAAACAGG
rnacentral:rRNA from 1 species